AUUGAGAUGAGGAAAACGAUAAAUCAGAUUGAGAAUGAUUUAUUGACAUGGAAUGUGAUUGUUCAGCCAUCUACUAGCGAUUAAU